GAGCUUCCGCAGAGAUCCUGCAGAUGUGAUUCGAGUCUUCCAGCAACACCACCUCACUCUGCUUUGCACAAUCACUCCACCUCCCCACAUGUUGCGGAGAUUCUCCUGGGGAUUCACACUCUUCCUACUUGCAGCUGUGACACGGGAAACAUCCUCCACCAGGUCUUCUCUCACAGUGUGGCCUCUGCGCACAGGUUAUCCACCUGUAGACCUGGACGGGACCCUCGAGGCUCCCUACUCUGACCAUCUGGUUUUAUAGUUGAGGAACCAGAAGCCGAGGCAGGGUCUCGACGGUGAAGAAGCAGGCUGUUUCCAUCUUCAGGAUACAAGCCAUCUGCGCAUAGGAAGAGGGUCCAGAGGCUCAUCUGGAAUCCCUCCUCACUCACUGGACGGAGGACCUGACCCCGUUCCCAUCAUUGGUUCUGAAUCCAUCAGCCCAGCAAGACAGGUGUCUCCAGCAAGUUCUGUAAAAUACAACCAUAGCCGGGCCUGGAGUCAGCCCCCAAUAAAGGGUUCACCAUGGA